UUGCACCCGGAGGCAGGGCCAGGCCUGGGGCAGCCACGGAAGUAAAGCGUCGGCCUCUCCUGGCUCCGUGCUUUUCCCCACGAUGGCGCUCAUGGAAGACCCUCGCUCUGCUGGGCACUGUGGUGCUCGGACCUGCAGCUAGCGGCCUUCAUGAGUGGGAUGCCUGCGUCGCCCGCUCCCCUCACCUGCCAAAGCUUCCUGCGGCUCCCACUGUGGCUCCAGGGCAGGCACGGCCACAGCGGGCUUGGGGGAGCGAGGGCUCACAGGACUCCCGCGGCAGGCAUUUCCUGGGCUCGGCCUACAUGCCUGGGAGGGUGACGGUGCCGGGGUUCUGGGGCUGGGGAGCUGCACCCCCAUGGUUAGAUUCAAGCGGAGCCUAGGCCAAGAGGCAGAACAGAAAGAGUCACACCCUUUGCGGGGAGGGCGGGCAGCAUUCUGGGGCCCCUCCAGCGUGCAGCCCCCAUCCCACACACACAGCAGGAGGAGGCACCCCAGCCCCGAUACUCACACAAAUCCCCUCUUCACGCCUUCCUCACAGCUGCCGUGGGGGGAGGCACUAGUUAUCCCCAGUUUAUAGAGAAGGAAACUGAGGCUCGGGUGGCGGUAGCUCUGGCCUGGCGUGGGGGAUUCAGGCGGGAGUGACCGUGGAUGCCAAGAGCCAGGAGGUCUGGAAGCCUCUGGGGCCUGCAGGGUUAGGAAGCGGGUUGGGGGGCGAGCAGAGCUACCAUUGAGGCCUGGAGUGAAGAUCGGAGGGUCUGGGUGGAGGAGUCAGGUAGCCCUGGGGACCAGGGGCGAGGUGGCCCUGCCCCAGGACAUUCACCAGAAGAGCCAAAGCCAGCCCCUGCCCCACCCCAGGCCCUCAGGCACACCUGCUGCCAGCCUUCACCAAGCACCGUGGACACGCGAAGCUAGUCCUCUGUGACCAUCCUGGGCAGCCAGGACCAGUGCCAUGUGACUGACCACAACCCAGGCCCUGGCACUGCAGCUGGGGCCUGGCGUCCCCACCCACCCCCUAGCCCAGCCCCAAGAAACACAAAGCCCAGACUGGCUCAGCCCAGUGAGCUCUGCUUACUUCAGAAGCGUGUGGUCCGGGCACCCCAGCGGGAGAAGCUGGGGCCUGGGGCCAGUCUGUGCCUGCCGGAGUGAAACGAGCUGGUGGCCCCUUGUUCUCGCUGUCCCACUGGGUGCUCGUCACAAAGCCAGUCAGGCAGGGGGGCAGGGUCCCAAGAACCUACUAGAGCUGCCAGCACCACCCACUCCCUGUGCCACCUGCCAUGUGGCCACCCCAGAAGCGUGUGUGGGCACGAGGGUGGGGAGGAUGUGCCUCCCUGCACAGCCUCAGCAUGAGGCCCCUGGGCCUCCUCCAAAGGCCUGGGGAAGACCCCAACAUGGGUUUUGGGAAAAGAGCAAAACAGCUGUGAGGGGCAGGUGUCAGGCCGUCCCAUCCCGCAGGUGUGGACACAGGAGCUGGCACCAAGUGACCUGCCGCCGUGUGCGAAAGGCCUGAAGCAGAGCUGGUCUCCUGGCCAGAGCUGCCCUGGUCGCCCCCAAGUCCUAGCCUGUGCCCCCGCCACCCUGGCAGCAGCUGUGCUCACACUGUGGGAACUCCGAAGCCCCCACUGCAGAGGGACCAGCAUGGCCCCCACCUGGCUGGCCAGCAGCCUCCCCGACUUUUCCCUUCUCAGGGACCAGGGCAGGGCUACCCCAAGGGGAGAGGACGGGCAGAGAGGAGGGAAUGGCAGCAGCCAGGGUGGAGGCUCCCUGGGGUCCCCCGUCCUGGGUCACCUUUGUUCUCUGUCCUUGGAGUCCUGGAACAGGAAUCCAGGAGCUUCCCGUAGACACCAUCAGAUGGAUAAACUGAGGCCACAGACCCUUUCCAGCCAGUGAACCCAGGGCCACUGCUGGGAUGGUGGCCUCUCCCUCCCUGUGCUUGGCAGGGCUACCCUGCCGGCCCCAUGGAGACUGAGAUGAUGGGGGGCUGUUUCUCCAGGACCGUUCUCACCCCGUGGGACAUAUCCCCACGCCCACCCCAUGAGCCGGACGCCAGGCUGUCUCCCAUGAGGGGCAGAGGCCAUGUUCUCGGAGGGAUGAGCUGCGGGGUGGGGGGUGCUCUGGGCUGAUGCCACUCAGGACUUCAGUCUGAAGCAAAGGGCUGAGCACAGCGAGUGGGAAUGGCCUGUCCAGGCCCGGGGACAGCGGCAGCUGCAGGGCCCUGAGGGAGGGACAGGGCUGAGCAGCCUCUGGAGGCGGGGGUGGGUGUGUGUGGAUGUGGAGGACGGCAUGCAGGUGUGUAUAUGAGUGAGUGUGCAGGGGUCUGUGGAUACCAUAGGUAUGGGUUGCUAUGAAGAUCUGUGCAGACACACAAAUGUGUGUGGAAUACAGAGGUGAAUCUGCAGGUGUGUGGGUGUAUGCACAGGUGUGUGCAGGUGUAGAUGAAGGCAUGCAUGCAUGUGAGGUGAACAGACACGUCCCGGUGUCUGCAGGCUGACGUACGUGGCAGGUGUGUGCUGGUGUGUGCAGGUGUGCUCAGUGCCUCUGCUCAGGGCCACCCCUUUGCUGCGAUGCCACCUAGCACCAGAGGUGGGUGCGGGUCGGAGCUGGCUCCCAGCUGCCCUCCUGGCUGCCCCCUGCCCUGUGUGGAGAUGGGCCAGGGACAGGUGUCGGUCAGGGAUGGGCCCUGGCUGGGCUCACCAGGAUGAGGUGCUGGAGCAGAAUGGUCAGGAAGGCCGGAAAGACUCAGCUCAUCCUGGAGCCCCCACACCUCCGGGCCCCUGCGGAGCUGGGAGGGGCAGGGCUGGGGGGUGACGUCUGCCCGGCUGUGUCCUUUGCAGACGAGAUGAACGACCACCAGAACACCCUCUCCUACGUCCUCAUCAACCCUCCGCCCGACACGAGGCUGGAGCCCAGCGACAUUGUCUAUCUCAUCCGCUCCGACCCCCUGGCUCACGUGGCCAGCAGCUCCCAGAGCCGGAAGAGCAGCUGCAGCCACAAGCUGUCGUCCUGCAACCCCGAGACUCGCGACGAGACACAGCUCUGAGCCAGCCCUGCACGGAGCUCAGGCCACCAAGCCCGGGGUCCUCAGGAAGGACGUGGAGGAGCAUGUGAGGACACGGUGGCACUAGCGUGACCCUGGGGAUGCCACACUCUACUCACCGUGGCUCCUGGGACUCCACCCUGGAAAGGACCCCCUCAUGCGGGGGGAGGGCCAGCUCACUCCUGGGCACCUGCAGGCUAGUGAGGAGAGUUUUUUAACCUAUUUUUACACAUCGAUGCAGUCCACUUCUCUUUACACAGAUGUACCGCAACUCGUGACCAGGGCUGGCUGGGAGGGCAACGCAGGGACUGGACGCCCUGCAGGGCCGAGCCCAGGCUGUGCUGGAGGGUGGGGCUGGGGUGCAUGGGGAGGGGAGCAGAACCCAGGAGCCCCGCGUGGGCCACACCCAACUCAGAGCCGGCCUGAGCGUUCACGGCCAGGCGGCCUCGCUUCCUUGCAGCCAAGGGCUGGGGGCCAGGGCUGCUGUUCUGCACUCUGUGGGGUGGGUAAGGGGGACCCUGGGCUGUUUGCUGUCCCAAGCCCCUUCUGGAAGUUAGAAGCAGCAAAGGGCCCGGGGAAGCCGGGCAUGUGAGAGGGGUGCGUCCCCAGGUCCCCCAGAGGGCCCUGUCACUGAGGACCUUUCUGAAGGAAGCAGAAGACGCCGUUUCCUCUACUUCACACUGAACUGUCCCAGCCACUGCAUCUAGGGGGCAUUGGGCGGAAGAUGGUGCAUUUCCAUAGACCAUUUUACACUUACCUUUUAAAGCAAAGCCUCAUUUUCUAAACCCCUGACUUGUGAAGCACAAUUCAGCCUCUGGGCUGGGCCACGUGGAGAGAGGAUCUUCUCAGCAAGGCGAGAUCCCGGGCGGCGGCUGACAUCAGGAGCGCCACCCUGCGUCCUUUGCUGCUGGUUCCUUACUGGUUUGUACGGUCAGCGCUGGAAACUUCUAUUAAAUGGAUGCAUUCUGGAGGCAUGAAGUU
rnacentral:sRNA from 1 species